rnacentral:piRNA from 1 species
UAGUUUCACUGGAAUAUUUUC